UACGUAGGUGGCAAGCGUUAUCCGGAAUUAUUGGGCGUAAAGCGCGCGCAGGCGGUUUCUUAAGUCUGAUGUGAAAGCCCACGGCUCAACCGUGGAGGGUCAUUGGAAACUGGGGAACUUGGGUGCAGAAGAGAAAAGCGGAAUUCCACGUGUAGCGGUGAAAUGCGUAGAGAUGUGGAGGAACACCAGUGGCGAAGGCGGCUUUUGGUCUGUAACUGACGCUGAGGCGCGAAAGCGUGGGGAGCAAACAGG
rnacentral:rRNA from 1 species